rnacentral:rRNA from 1 species
AGAGUUUGAUCAUGGCUCAGGGUGAACGCUGGCGGCGUGCUUAAGACAUGCAAGUCGAACGGACUUCCUUCGGGGAGUCAGUGGCGCACGGGUGAGUAACACGUGGGCAACCUGCCCUCAGCUCUGGGAUAACUCCGGGAAACCGGGGCUAAUACCGGAUACGACCUUCUCUCGCAUGGGGGGAGGUGGAAAGUUCUUCGGCUGAGGAUGGGCCCGCGGCCUAUCAGCUUGUUGGUGGGGUGAUGGCCUACCAAGGCGACGACGGGUAGCCGGCCUGAGAGGGUGACCGGCCACACUGGGACUGAGACACGGCCCAAACUCCUACGGGAGGCAGCAGUGGGGAAUAUUGCGCAAUGGGCGGAAGCCUGACGCAGCGACGCCGCGUGGGGGAUGACGGCCUUCGGGUUGUAAACCUCUUUCAGCAGGGACGAAGCGCAAGUGACGGUACCUGCAGAAGAAGCACCGGCCAACUACGUGCCAGCAGCCGCGGUAAUACGUAGGGUGCAAGCGUUGUCCGGAAUUAUUGGGCGUAAAGAGCUCGUAGGCGGUUGGUCGCGUCGGCUGUGAAAACCCGGAGCUCAACUCCGGGCCUGCAGUCGAUACGGGCCGACUUGAGUGUUGCAGGGGAGACUGGAAUUCCUGGUGUAGCGGUGAAAUGCGCAGAUAUCAGGAGGAACACCGGUGGCGAAGGCGGGUCUCUGGGCAACAACUGACGCUGAGGAGCGAAAGCGUGGGGAGCGAACAGGAUUAGAUACCCCAGUAGUCC